GGGCUGGCUGAGCUGCCCCGCUGCAGGUAGUGCUGAGUUGCUCCAGUGCCACUGGGUUAGGGUCUCCACAACCGAGCUGGUCUCAGCAAGUGGUGUCCAUACAUGGGGCUCGAACCUGGGUCAAAGGGUCGCCAGAGCGACGGUUGGAGAACGUGGAACUAAGCUGGAGGACACCUGAGUACUCUUAAGCAAUCCCCAUGGGGGAGUUAAUCCUCGAGGAUUGGAACCUAAUUCUCUUUGGCAAAUGGAUGUCACCCACGUUCCCUCGUUUGGGAGACUAGCUUAUGUACAUGUAUGUGUGGACACCUUUUCUCACUUUGUCUGGGCUACAUGCCAAUCAGGAGAGUCUUCUGCCUGUGUUAAACAUCACCUUUUGCAGUGUUUUGCGGUGAUGGGCAUUCCAGCUUCUAUUAAAACAGAUAAUGUCCCAGGCUAUACUAGCCAAGCUCUAGCUACAUUUUUCUCUAUAUGGAAUAUUAAACACAUUACUGGCAUUCCGUAUAAUUCUCAAGGACAAGCCAUAGUGGAAAGAAUGAAUCCCUCCCUGAAACAGCAGUUGCAAAAGCAAAAAGGGGGAAACAGGGACUAUGGGAUACCCCAUAUGCAAUUGAAUCUAGUAUUAUUGACUUUAAAUUUUUUGAGACUGCCUAAAGGCCAGAUGCUAUCAGCAGUUGAAUAGCAUCUACAGAAACCAACUGCAAAGACAGAAGCAGAACAACUGGUUUGGUGGAGAGAGCCAAUGAUAAAAAGUUGGGAAAUGGGCAGAAUAAUAACUCGGGGUAGAGGUUAUCCUUGUGUUUCUCCAGGACCAAAUCAACUGCCAAUUUGGAUAUCAUCGAGGCACCUGAAACCUUAUCAUGAGCCUGAUGCUGAGGAAUAGAUUCUGGGAGGAUCCUGAGGAUCCCCCGGUUGCAGCCAUGUUGAGACUGACACUGAGGGGGACCCCAACUGUCACGAGCAACACCCAUCAAAUGCAGCCACCUACCUGGGGACAGAUCAAGAAGCUGUCACAGAUGGCAGAAGAAAACCUAAGGAAAGUGG
rnacentral:antisense_RNA from 1 species